rnacentral:rRNA from 1 species
AGUGAACGCUGGCGGUAUGCCUAACACAUGCAAGUCGAACGGCAACACAUUUAGGGCUUCCGCUGAGGGGCGGCCGGUUGCGUAAUAGAUCGGAAUGCGCCGGAAUCUGCUUUUUCAUGGGGGGUAAGGUAUGGUAACUUACGCUACUACCGCCUACUACCUGCGGGGGAAAGCCGGGGAUCUUCGGACCUGGCGCGCUGAAAGGAGCCGAGGUCGGAUUAGGUAGUUGGGGGGGUAAAGGCCCACCAAGGCGACGAUCCGUAGCUGGUCUGAGAGGAUGAUCAGCCACACUGGAACUGAGACACGGCCCAGACUCCUACGGGAGGCAGCAGUGGGGAAUAUUGGACAAUGGGCGCAAGCCUGAUCCAGCCAUACCGCGUGGGUGAAGAAGGCCUUCGGGUUGUAAAGUGCUUUUGUAGGGAACGAAAAGCAUCAGGCUAAUAAAGCGGGGUCAUGACGGUACCCAAAGAAUAAGCACCGGCUAACUUCGUG